rnacentral:tRNA from 1 species
GGCACUGGACGGACCUCGGCACAUAGCGCCUCACCUGUCUUUGGAACAGGAGGUCGUGGGUUCAAGUCCCAUCAGCCACCA